rnacentral:rRNA from 1 species
GUAAUGUGAAUUGMAGAUUUUCAGUGAAUCAUCGAAUCUUUGAACGCACCUUGCGCCCCUUGGUAUUCCGAGGGGCAUGCCUGUUUGAGUGUCAUU